rnacentral:rRNA from 1 species
AUGAACGCUGGCGGCGUGCCUAAUACAUGCAAGUCGAGCGAACGGACGAGAAGCUUGCUUCUCUGAUGUUAGCGGCGGACGGGUGAGUAACACGUGGAUAACCUACCUAUAAGACUGGGAUAACUUCGGGAAACCGGAGCUAAUACCGGAUAAUAUUUUGAACCGCAUGGUUCAAAAGUGAAAGACGGUCUUGCUGUCACUUAUAGAUGGAUCCGCGCUGCAUUAGCUAGUUGGUAAGGUAACGGCUUACCAAGGCAACGAUGCAUAGCCGACCUGAGAGGGUGAUCGGCCACACUGGAACUGAGACACGGUCCAGACUCCUACGGGAGGCAGCAGUAGGGAAUCUUCCGCAAUGGGCGAAAGCCUGACGGAGCAACGCCGCGUGAGUGAUGAAGGUCUUCGGAUCGUAAAACUCUGUUAUUAGGGAAGAACAUAUGUGUAAGUAACUGUGCACAUCUUGACGGUACCUAAUCAGAAAGCCACGGCUAACUACGUGCCAGCAGCCGCGGUAAUACGUAGGUGGCAAGCGUUAUCCGGAAUUAUUGGGCGUAAAGCGCGCGUAGGCGGUUUUUUAAGUCUGAUGUGAAAGCCCACGGCUCAACCGUGGAGGGUCAUUGGAAACUGGAAAACUUGAGUGCAGAAGAGGAAAGUGGAAUUCCAUGUGUAGCGGUGAAAUGCGCAGAGAUAUGGAGGAACACCAGUGGCGAAGGCGACUUUCUGGUCUGUAACUAACGCUGAUGUGCGAAAGCGUGGGGAUCAAACAGGAUUAGAUACCCUGGUAGUCCACGCCGUAAACGAUGAGUGCUAAGUGUUAGGGGGUUUCCGCCCCUUAGUGCUGCAGCUAACGCAUUAAGCACUCCGCCUGGGGAGUACGACCGCAAGGUUGAAACUCAAAGGAAUUGACGGGGACCCGCACAAGCGGUGGAGCAUGUGGUUUAAUUCGAAGCAACGCGAAGAACCUUACCAAAUCUUGACAUCCUUUGACAACUCUAGAGAUAGAGCCUUCCCCUUCGGGGGACAAAGUGACAGGUGGUGCGUGGUUGUCGUCAGCUCGUGUCGUGAGAUGUUGGGUUAAGUCCCGCAACGAGCGCAACCCUUAAGCUUAGUUGCCAUCAUUAAGUUGGGCACUCUAAGUUGACUGCCGGUGACAAACCGGAGGAAGGUGGGGAUGACGUCAAAUCAUCAUGCCCCUUAUGAUUUGGGCUACACACGUGCUACAAUGGACAAUACAAAGGGCAGCGAAACCGCGAGGUCAAGCAAAUCCCAUAAAGUUGUUCUCAGUUCGGAUUGUAGUCUGCAACUCGACUACAUGAAGCUGGAAUCGCUAGUAAUCGUAGAUCAGCAUGCUACGGUGAAUACGUUCCCGGGUCU